rnacentral:lncRNA from 1 species
CGGUGUGGUUGCCUGGGAUACGGCCAAAAGUAAACAAUCCGAAAGCCGGCUCAGUUAGAGACACCAGUGAGGAUAACUAAUGACCCAGUGGCAACAUCCAGGGAGGAAGCAGGCACCCAGGACCCGCCGAAGCAGAACGAUGCUCUGGGGAGAUGAGGGGCCCAGCCCAGGUCUUCUUGAUCUGGGACUUGGAAGAAAUUCCGUGAGUGAUGUCAAGACCAGCAAGAG